AUUCCAGUACAACAAAUAUCCGCCAGGGGACUACGAGCGCCAGCUUAAAACCCAAAGGACUUGGCGGUGCUUCAGACCCCCCUAGAGGAGCCUGUUCUAGAACCGAUAACCCCCGUUCAACCUCACUACUCCUUGCUUUUCCCGCCUAUAUACCACCGUCGCCAGCUUACCCUGUGAAGGUACUACAGUAAGCAGAAUGAGUAAUACUCAAAACGUCAGGUCGAGGUGUAGCGUACGAAGUAGGAAGAAAUGGGCUACAUUGUCUGAUCCAGAUUAUUCACGGAAGAUUGUCUGAAACGACAAUCCGAAGGUGGAUUUAGCAGUAAAGGGGGAAUAGAGUGCCCCCUUGAAGCCGGCUCUGAAGCGCGCACACACCGCCCGUCACUCUCCCCAACAACCGCCCACACCAAGGUAAAUAACACAAUACCCGUCACAAGGGGAGGCAAGUCGUAACAUGGUAAGUGUACCGGAAGGUGCACUUGGAAUAAU
rnacentral:rRNA from 1 species